rnacentral:rRNA from 1 species
CCUACGGGGGGCAGCAGUGGGGGAUAUUGGACAAUGGGGGGAACCCUGAUCCAGCGACGCCGCGUGAGUGAAGAAGUAUUUCGGUAUGUAAAGCUCUGUCAGCAGGGAAGAAAGAAAUGACGGUACCUGACCAAGAAGCCCCGGCUAACUACGUGCCAGCAGCCGCGGUAAUACGUAGGGGGCAAGCGUUAUCCGGAAUUACUGGGUGUAAAGGGAGCGUAGACGGUUAAGUAAGUCUGGAGUGAAAGGCCGGGGCGCAACCCCGGGACUGCUCUGGAAACUAUUGAACUUGAGUGCAGGAGAGGUAAGCGGAAUUCCUAGUGUAGCGGUGAAAUGCGUAGAUAUUAGGAGGAACACCAGUGGCGAAGGCGGCUUACUGGACUGUAACUGACGUUGAGGCUCGAAAGCGUGGGGAGCAAACAGGAUUAGAUACCCCGGUAGUC